AGGUCACUGCUAUCGGUGUUCGUCUAAGCCAUGCGAGUCAUAUGUUCUUCGUGAACAUGGCGUACUGCUCAGUAACACGUGGAUAACCUGCCCUUGGGUCUGGCAUAACUCCGGGAAACUGGGGAUAAUACCGGAUAACGCAUAUCUGCUGGAAUUCUUUAUGCGUGAAAUGGAUUCGUCUGCCCAAGGAUGGGUCUGCGGCCUAUCAGGUAGUAGUGGGUGUAAUGUACCUACUAGCCGACGACGGGUACGGGUUGUGAGAGCAAGAGCCCGGAGAUGGAUUCUGAGACAUGAAUCCAGGCCCUACGGGGCGCAGCAGGCGCGAAAACUUUACAAUGCGGGAAACCGUGAUAAGGGGACACCGAGUGCCAGCAUUAUAUGUUGGCUGUCCGGGUGUGUAAAAUACACCUGUUAGCAAGGGCCGGGCAAGACCGGUGCCAGCCGCCGCGGUAACACCGGCGGCCCGAGUGGUGAUCGUGUUUAUUGGGUCUAAAGGGUCCGUAGCCGGUUUGGUCAGUCCUCCGGGAAAUCUGACGGCUUAACCGUUAGGCUUUCGGGGGAUACUGCCAGACUUGGAACCGGGAGAGGUAAGAGGUACUACAGGGGUAGGAGUGAAAUCUUGUAAUCCCUGUGGGACCACCUGUGGCGAAGGCGUCUUACCAGAACGGGUUCGACGGUGAGGGACGAAAGCUGGGGGCACGAACCGGAUUAGAUACCCGGGUAGUCCCAGCCGUAAACGAUGCUCGCUAGGUGUCAGGCAUGGCGCGACCGUGUCUGGUGCCGCAGGGAAGCUGUGAAGCGAGCCACCUGGGAAGUACGGCCGCAAGGCUGAAACUUAA
rnacentral:rRNA from 1 species